rnacentral:rRNA from 1 species
CCUACGGGGGGCAGCAGUGAGGAAUAUUGGUCAAUGGCCGAGAGGCUGAACCAGCCAAGUCGCGUGAGGGAAGACGGUCCUACGGGUUGUAAACCUCUUUUGCCGGGGAGCAAAGCGAACCACGCGUGGCUCAUCGAGAGUACCCGAAGAAAAAGCAUCGGCUAACUCCGUGCCAGCAGCCGCGGUAAUACGGAGGAUGCGAGCGUUAUCCGGAUUUAUUGGGUUUAAAGGGUGCGUAGGCGGCCGUUUAAGUCAGCGGUGAAAGUUUGGGGCUCAACCCUAGAAUUGCCGUUGAAACUGGGUGGCUUGAGUAUGUUUGAAGCAGGCGGAAUGCGUGGUGUAGCGGUGAAAUGCAUAGAUAUCACGCAGAACCCCGAUUGCGAAGGCAGCCUGCC